GAUGAACGCUGGCGGCGUGCCUAACACAUGCAAGUCGAACGGAAAGACGGGAAGCUCUCGCUCUUGACGUUGGCGGGGGGCGGGCGGGUAACGCGUGGAUCGGCAUCUUCUUUUUCGGGGAUGACUACGUAAGGCAGCUUACGAUACUACCGCAUACGUCCUACGGGUGGAUUCAGGAGAGCUUCGCGGUUUGGGCGUCACUUUGAGCCGAUGCCGGAUUAGCUAGUUUGUGGGGUAAAGGCCUACCAAGGCGACGAUCCGUAGCUGACCUGAGAGGGGGAUCGGCCACACUGGAACUGAGACACGGUCCAGACUCCUACGGGAGGCAGCAGUGGGGAAUAUUGGACAAUGGGCGCAAGCCUGAUGCAGCCAUACCGCGUGGGUGAAGAAGGCCUUCGGGUUGUAAAGCCCUUUUGUUGGGAAAGAACAGCUGUAGGUUAAUACCCCGCUGUUUUGACGGUACCUAAAGAAUAAGCACCGGCUAACUACGUG
rnacentral:rRNA from 1 species